rnacentral:rRNA from 1 species
AUUGAACGCUGGCGGCAGGCCUAACACAUGCAAGUCGAGCGGAUGACGGGAGCUUGCUCCUUGAUUCAGCGGCGGACGGGUGAGUAAUGCCUAGGAAUCUGCCUGGUAGUGGGGGACAACGUUUCGAAAGGAACGCUAAUACCGCAUACGUCCCACGGGAGAAAGCAGGGGACCUUCGGGCCUUGCGCUAUCAGAGGAGCCUAGGUCGGAUUAGCUAGUUGGUGGGGUAAUGGCUCACCAAGGCGACGAUCCGUAACUGGUCUGAGAGGAUGAUCAGUCACACUGGAACUGAGACACGGUCCGGACUCCUACGGGAGGCAGCAGUGGGGAAUAUUGGACAAUGGGCGAAAGCCUGAUCCAGCCAUGCCGCGUGUGUGAAGAAGGUCUUCGGAUUGUAAAGCACUUUAAGUUGGGAGGAAGGGCAGUAAGCUAAUACCUUGCUGUUUUGACGUUACCGACAGAAUAAGCACCGGCUAACUCUGUGCCAGCAGCCGCCGUAA